rnacentral:rRNA from 1 species
UACAGAGACUGCAAGCGUUAUUCGGAUUCACUGGGCGUAAAGGGUGCGCAGGCGGCCAAGUGUGUGAGGCGUGAAAGCCUGGAGCUUAACUCCAGAAUUGCACCUCAAACUACAUGGCUAGAGCAUUGGAGAGGGUAGCAGAAUUCAUGGUGUAGCAGUGAAAUGCGUAGAUAUUGCUCGGAAGGCCAACGGCGAAGGCAGGUUACUGGUACGCAACUGACGCUGAGGCACGAAAGCGUGGGGAGCAAACAGG